GGUUCUGUACCAUGUUCAAAUGCCAUGGCUCUCUUGUCUAGCACCCAACAAAGUUGUUCAGCUGCAGAAGUGGGUUCAAGCAAAAGGAAAAGAGGUUCAGACUUGAGUUCAGGCAGCUAAACUGCAUCAAAGUCCAAGGCUGGAAAAGAGAAGGCAAAAGUUACUAAGACUUCAGCAAAGGCUAAGGUGUCCACAGCAAGUGGUGGUACUGGUUCUAUCAAACUCCAGGCACAAGUUCCCCAAUCACAAGCAAGCUCUAGUGUUACUGUUAAUGUAAUCUUAGGGUCAGGCUAUGGUAAAGCCAAAGCCCAGGAGGCACCUAAGAGGAAGACAUCAAAACCUGCAAAAUACGGUGAAUUUGUGAUGUUACCUCCUUCUGGUCCUUCUAAGAAGUAGAUGCAAUCUCCUGGCUUGUAAUGCUGGAAGUGUGAACCUUAUCUAUGUAAUGCUGUUUGAACCUUAUUUUUCAGUGUUCUGAACAUCAUAUAUGCCAAAGUGAUGGCUUAUUUGUGUCAGUUGUGUGUGGGAAGUCUGAACCUUAUCUAUGUAAUGUUGUUUGAACCUUA